rnacentral:misc_RNA from 1 species
UGCUAUGACUGAAAUGAAUGGUGUACUUUGUUCAUCUAGGCCCAUGAGGAUUGGCCCGGCUGCAAACAAGAAACCAAUGGGUACCCCCCAGAAAGCUACCUACCAAAAUCCUCAAGCUACUCAAGGCGAAAGUGACCCCAAUAAUACAACUAUAUUUGUUGGUGGUUUGGAUCCCAGUGUUGCAGAAGAGCAUUUGCGACAAGUUUUCUCCCCAUAUGGUGAAUUGGUUCACGUGAAGAUAGUGGCUGGAAAGCGCUGUGGCUUUGUUCAGUUUGGUAGUAGAGCUUCUGCUGAGCAGGCUUUGUCAAGCUUGAAUGGCACACAAUUGGGAGGACAAAGCAUUCGGCUUUCUUGGGGGCGUAGCCCCUCUAACAAACAGUCCGAUCAGGCUCAAUGGGGUGGAAGUGCCGGUGCUGGUGCUGGUGCAUAUUAUGGGUAUGCCCAAGGAUAUGAGGCUUAUGGAUAUGCUCCUCCCGCUCAGGACCCUAAUAUGUAUUAUGGGAAUUACCCAGGAUAUGGGAAUUAUCAGCAGCCACAGCAGUGAAGUUUAAUUAUUUUCAAGGAGGCUAAGAAGUAGACGACGUUCAAAUUUCCAGUGCUUAGGCUGAUCUUUCCCGUCGGUGUGACUGGUUGUACAAUGAAUUUGAUAAACUGAGUGAUUGUGAGUUUUUGUGGGACAUUUUCUUUUCUCCUGUCUGUAACUUGAGUUUGCUAUUACACUAACGUGUACCGAAACAUUCCAAACUGUACCUUGACCUGUGUGUAGACUCUGUUAAGUUUUUUCUUACCAUUUCUGAUUUGCAGUAUUCGAUUGCAUUUGGUUUGCUUGUGAGCAGCAUCUAGUAAAUGUGAUGCUUAUAAUUGACGAAACAAAGAUGGUAGAG